rnacentral:rRNA from 1 species
AUUGAACGCUGGCGGCAUGCCUUACACAUGCAAGUCGAACGGCAGCACGGGAGCAAUCCUGGUGGCGAGUGGCGAACGGGUGAGUAAUGUAUCGGAACGUACCCUUCAGUGGGGGAUAACUAUCCGAAAGGAUAGCUAAUACCGCAUAUUCUCUGAGGAGGAAAGCGGGGGAUCGCAAGACCUCGCGCUGAUGGAGCGGCCGAUAUCAGAUUAGCUAGUUGGUGGGGUAAAGGCCUACCAAGGCGACGAUCUGUAGCGGGUCUGAGAGGAUGAUCCGCCACACUGGGACUGAGACACGGCCCAGACUCCUACGGGAGGCAGCAGUGGGGAAUUUUGGACAAUGGGGGCAACCCUGAUCCAGCCAUGCCGCGUGAGUGAAGAAGGCCUUCGGGUUGUAAAGCUCUUUCGGCCGGGAAGAAAUCGCGUGAGUUAAUACCUUGCGUGGAUGACGGUACCGGAAUAAGAAGCACCGGCUAACUACGUGCCAGCCGCCGCCGUAAGAC